UGAUAAUGAUAACAACUCCAAUGCUGAU
rnacentral:sRNA from 1 species